AGAGUUUGAUCCUGGCUCAGAGCGAACGCUGGCGGCAGGCCUAACACAUGCAAGUCGAACGAACUCUUCGGAGUUAGUGGCGGACGGGUGAGUAACACGUGGGAACGUGCCUUUAGGUUCGGAAAUAACUCAGGGGAAACUUGUGCUAAUACCGAAUGUGCCUUCGGGGGAAAGAUUUAUCGCCUUUAGAGCGGCCCGCGUCUGAUUAGCUAGUUGGUGAGGUAAAGGCUCACCAAGGCGACGAUCAGUAGCUGGUCUGAGAGGAUGAUCAGCCACAUUGGGACUGAGACCACGGCCCAAACUCCUAACGGGAGGCAGCAGUGGGGAAUCUUGCGCAAUGGGCGAAAGCCUGACGCAGCCAUGCCGCGUGAAUGAUGAAGGUCUUAGGAUUGUAAAAUUCUUUCACCGGGGACGAUAAUGACGGUACCCGGAGAAGAAGCCCCGGCUAACUUCGUGCCAGCAGCCGCGGUAAUACGAAGGGGGCUAGCGUUGCUCGGAAUUACUGGGCGUAAAGGGAGCGUAGGCGGACAUUUAAGUCAGGGGUGAAAUCCCGGGGCUCAACCUCGGAAUUGCCUUUGAUACUGGGUGUCUUGAGUAUGAGAGAGGUGUGUGGAACUCCGAGUGUAGAGGUGAAAUUCGUAGAUAUUCGGAAGAACACCAGUGGCGAAGGCGACACACUGGCUCAUUACUGACGCUGAGGCUCGAAAGCGUGGGGAGCAAACAG
rnacentral:rRNA from 1 species